UACGUAGGGUGCGAGCGUUAAUCGGAAUUACUGGGCGUAAAGCGUGCGCAGGCGGUCUGUUAAGACAGAUGUGAAAUCCCCGGGCUUAACCUGGGAACUGCAUUUGUGACUGGCAGGCUAGAGUAUGGCAGAGGGGGGGUAGAAUUCCACGUGUAGCAGUGAAAUGCGUAGAGAUGUGGAGGAAUACCGAUGGCGAAGGCAGCCCCCCUGGGCCAAUACUGACGCUCAUGCACGAAAGCGUGGGGAGCAAACAGG
rnacentral:rRNA from 1 species